rnacentral:rRNA from 1 species
UACGUAGGGGGCAAGCGUUGUCCGGAUUUAUUGGGCGUAAAGAGCGUGUAGGCGGCCAGGUAGGUCCGUUGUGAAAACUGGAGGCUUAACCUCCAGCUGUCGAUGGAAACCAUCUGGCUAGAGUCCGGAAGAGGAGAGUGGAAUUCCUGGUGUAGCGGUGAAAUGCGCAGAUAUCAGGAAGAACACCCGUGGCGAAGGCGGCUCUCUGGGCAACUACUGACGCUGAGGAGCGAAAGCGUGGGGAGCGAACAGG